CUUUCCCUCUGGCGGCAGGCCUAACACAUGCAAGUCGAGCGGAUGAAGGGAGCUUGCUCCUGGAUUCAGCGUCGGACGGGUGAGUAAUGCCUAGGAAUCUGCCUGGUAGUGAGGGAUAACGUCCGGAAACGGGCGCUAAUACCGCAUACGUCCUGAGGGAGAAAGUGGGGGAUCUUCGGACCUCACGCUAUCAGAUGAGCCUAGGUCGGAUUAGCUAGUUGGUGGGGUAAAGGCCUACCAAGGCGACGAUCCGUAACUGGUCUGAGAGGAUGAUCAGUCACACUGGAACUGAGACACGGUCAAGACUCCUACGGGAGGCAGCAGUGGGGAAUAUUGGACAGUGGGCGAAAGCCUGAUCCAGCCAUGCCGCGUGUGUGAAGAAGGUCUUCGGAUUGUAAAGCACUUUAAGUUGGGAGGAAGGGCAGUAAGUUAAUACCUUGCUGUUUUGACGUUACCAACAGAAUAAGCACCGGCUAAGUUCGUG
rnacentral:rRNA from 1 species